rnacentral:lncRNA from 1 species
GAAAUCCUGGAGAGAAAGGAGAUGAGGAUAAAAAAAAAUUCCAGAUCUGACUUCAGCCUGAGUGUCCCUUGCCUGGACUGGUCCACAUACCAGCUGUGAGGAAAUUGGAUCCUCCGAGGCCCCUUGUGCAUCCUACCUUCCCUGGACCUCUGUUACUAUUUAUUGAGCUUUGACCCCCCAACCAUCUGUUUCAGUCCUGUGGUCAGCAGUGACUGCAGAGAUUAGUCCAAGUACUGAGAGGAAGUGACUGCGGAGUGAUUGGUCAUCAAUGCUACAUCUUGUAUCAGGGAGGACAGGAGCAGACAGUGGGAAGAAUGGGGAGACGGAGGGAAGAUGAAGGAAUGCUCACUGGUGCCCAGACACGUCAUGGCUGU